AUUGAACGCUGGCGGCAGGCCUAACACAUGCAAGUCGAACGAGUGGCGGACGGGUGAGUAAUGUCUGGGAAACUGCCUGAUGGAGGGGGAUAACUACUGGAAACGGUAGCUAAUACCGCAUACCAUCGGAUGUGCCCAGAUGGGAUUAGCUAGUAGGUGGGGUAACGGCUCACCUAGGCGACGAUCCCUAGCUGGUCUGAGAGGAUGACCGGCCACACUGGAACGGAGACACGGUCCAGACUCCGGCGGGAGGCAGCAGUGGGGAAUAUUGCACAAUGGGCGCAAGCCUGAUGCAGCCAUGCCGCGUGUGUGAAGAGGGCCUUCGGGUUGUAAAGCACUUUGAGCGGGGAGGCGUUACUCGCAGAAGAAGCACCGGCUAACUCCGUGCCAGCAGCCGCGGUAAUUC
rnacentral:rRNA from 1 species